rnacentral:misc_RNA from 1 species
GUGAAUCAUCAAAUCUUUGAACGCAAAUUGCGCUUCCUAGCAUCCCGGGAAGUAUGCCUGUUUGAGGGUCAGUAUUAACAAAAAAAUCGGUUUGGUUGCAAAUUGUGACGUUUCCGGAGUUUGGGCUAUCUUAACUUUUUUGGUUAAGGGGCUUAAAAUUGACCUUUUUUGCGCAUUUUUAUACGUACAUAAAUUUUUUUUUUUAUUCUUCUUUUUUUUAUUCCAAAAUCUUAUUAGAUG